UUAACGGUAGUUCAGUUAGCCUGUAAAGAUCACGUUUUUAUUUUUAUUUUUAUUUUUAUUUUUAUUUUUAUUUUUAUUUUUAUUUUUAUUUUUUUUAAGAUGGUGUUUUUAACACGUAUGCUCUACACUUUCUUCAGUGUGAACUCUUUUUGCAAAAGAAAACCGAUGUAAGAGAUUAAAUCACUUGCCAAGGCCACAGAGUCAAGAAGUAGUGGGGCCGAGACAUGACUAUAGGUCUCUUACCACGAUACUGAUCAUCAUGAGCUUCUAGGAACAUCAGAUGUUGGAGAAUAAACAAAAGAGAAAGGCCAGCAGGAUGUAGAGUGGGACCUUAUAGGGAUGCGGUACUAUAGAAGGAGGUUUUGGGGUGAAGCUGUAGUUAUGAAUUUGGAGGAUCAGUCCCAGAUUUUGUCAGUGUACCACCACAGGGUCGUUACAGGCUUGGGAGGGCCUCUAACUCAUGGAACCCAGACGGGCUCCAGUCCAGUCCUGUUGUGUUGAGUUUCAUAGCGGAAGAGAUGGAGCACUUAUGCCCUCUUCACUGCAGGGGAAACCAAUAGCUACCGGAGUUCACAGAUUCCUCAGUCCCCAGGCCCCUAGAGGGUGAGCGUGGCUGCCUCUACUGAGGGCCAAGAAGCGUGCGGGUCGUUCUGACUCAGAGAUUCUGCCCUUUAAUUUCUCAGCCGUCUUGGAUACUUCUAUUUACGGAGGCCCCAGGCCCGCACGCCCAACCCCAGCUGCCCCAAUCCAGGUGUAUUUCCAUACAGCACACAGAGCAGAACCAACAUUCCACAUUUAUCUUAACUCUGUAGUUUCCAAGGAAACAGUACUGCAAAGACAGACACUGAAUUCCCAAUUCCGUAUCUGCCCAGGCCUGGAGUUAACCCUUCACACACAGGUAAGCAGACCGAAGGAAGCCUUGCCCCGUGCUGGCACCAGGUCAAAUGAAUCUGCUUACAGUUCCAAAGUACUAUCCCUCCUACUACAGUUUGCAGCACCAGAGGUAGGUGUUCCUUUUGUUGUCAUGUCUUGGCCUCGCUUGCCAUUCUUUUGGUGUGCUGGAGCUUUUCUGUCAGCCUUCAGUUCUACUUGAGGAUGAAUUGUUUUAUAAACAAGUAUAAAUUUGGUGUGUCCAUGAAGGAGAUGAGUUCAAGGUCUUCCCAUAUUGCCAUCUUGAACUAGAACCUUGCCAUAUUGAAUUAGAACCUUAGGUAGACUUUUGAUUUGAUUUCCCAGUGACUGUUUCACAGAUGAUUAAUUUCAUAAUGUUGAUUUUUUUUAUAGCGUUAAGCAUUUUUCUGACUCUGUCUCUAAAUAUAUAGCCCAAAAUUUUUGUACUUAAUAUAUAUGUGU
rnacentral:lncRNA from 12 species